GACGAGGGGUCCUAGCGUUGUUCGGAAUCAUUGGGCGUAAAGCGUGUGUAGGCGGCCUUGCAAGUCAGUUGUGAAAGCCCCGGGCUCAACCCGGGAAGUGCUUCUGAUACUGCAUGGCUUGAGUACUGGAGAGGGUAGUGGAAUCCCAGGUGUAGUGGUGAAAUACGUAGAUAUCUGGAGGAACACCGGUGGCGAAGGCGGCUACCUGGCCAUGUACUGACGCUGAGACACGAAAGCGUGGGGAGCAAACAGG
rnacentral:rRNA from 1 species